GGGCUUGUGGUUUAGUGGUAUAAUACUCGCUUAGCAUAUUGUCUUAACAGGUUCGUCCUUAGAAAGAUAAGCAUGUGAGUGGUCCGGGGUUCGAUUCCCCGCGAGUCCA